rnacentral:lncRNA from 1 species
UUUUUAGAUGAGGAAAUUGCAUCUCAUGUCACUUUUUGGAUUGGUAUUUUUAAAAAUGUCACAUUUUAAUAAUCUUUGCAAGAAUGUUAAUUUUGGACUUUUUUACCCUCUCAAAAAUCUAAUUACCUUGCAUGUCAUUAAUUAAAGUUGAUUUGACUAGAUGAAAAAAUGGUUCAAAAAACGAAAAAAUAUCACAUCAAAUCAUCCACCCUUAUUUUUUAAAACCAUUUUCCAAUUUUGUACGUAUUCCCAUUUUGCAAGCCCACUUGCUAAACCUAUUUCACAUUGCAAACUAAACCCAUUUCACACAAAAAUGGUGAAGAAGAAUGUGAAGAAUUUCCAUCCCCACAAUAAUCACUUUCCCAUCUCACGAUCGAUAACCCACACCUAGUUGGAAUACAUUUCAAGUUCAAUAUCUGAUUGUUCAUAUUUGGCUCCAAAUUCAAAUUGAGGUAAAUGCCACUUUCAUUUUUUUAGAUUUACAUGUUUUGAAUAAUUUAUACUUUAAUUGUGUUAUGGUUGGUUGCAAUCUGACAAAAAACGAAAAAAUAUCACAUCAAAUCAUCCACCCUUACUUUUUAAAACCAUUUUCCAAUUUUGUACGUAUUCCCAUUUUGCAAGCCCACUUGCCAAACCUAUUUCACAUUGCAAACUAAACCCAUUUCACACAAAAAUGGUGAAGAAGAAUUUGAAGAAUUUCCAUCCCCACAAUAAUCACUUUCCCAUCUCACGAUCGAUAACCCACACCUAGUUGGAAUACAUUUCAAGUUCAAUAUCUGAUUGUUCAUAUUUGGCUCCAAAUUCAAAUCGAGGUAAAUGCCACUUUCAUUUUUUUAGAUUUACAUGUUUUGAAUAAUUUAUACUUUAAUUGUGUUAUGGUUGGUUGCAAUUUGAACAUUUUGGAUUAUAUUGAAGUAUAUUUUCAUAUGUAUAUAAUUUUGAUGUUUAGUUCAUUUACAUAUAUAUCGAAUAACUUUUAAUAUUAUUAAUCAAAUUUUAAUAAACGAUCGGGCUAUUACAAUCGUUCAUUGUCGACGGUAAACAGUCAACCUCCGUCCUAGCAGAACUUCAAUCUUGGAUUCACGCUUGAUGGUAUGGUCUAUAAUUAAGCAACAAUUUACUUAAACUUUUGUAUUCUUUUUAGCUUGUGUUUCUAUUGGUCAUCUUAUUAUUUAAAAUAUAUCAAAAUAAAUUACACGUUCUUUGGGACGUAAGAAGAAGGCCUUGAAUUUCCAACUUGUUUGAAAUUGUUUGUGAUAUUUUGGCCAAGUAAUCUUUGAAAUACAUGAAAUUAUUGGCUAUGGCUCAUAAUUUUGUCUAUUUUAUUUAUCUAAUGCCUAUUUUAAGACUAUAGGGGCUUGAUUAUUUUUACAAUAUGGGGGAGACAUUACAUGCUUUUUAAUUUCCCAAGUUCAUAUUUUUUGGCACUUGGGAUGUUCUUAAAUUCGUUGCCCAUUUAUGUUAUAAUUAUUUGGUUCUUUGUUGAUUAUGGGUGAAUGACAUUCAACAAUAUUUAGUUGUUCACCAGUUAUGAGUACCCAUAUUAUAUCCAAGCAUUUCAUUGAAUUGUCAUGAAUCCUUGAAGAAGGAAAAGAAAAAAAGCUCUAAACUAAUAUUAGUACAAUUGAACUAGAAAUUCAAUAACUCUAAAUAUUAUUUGACCUGGUCAAUUAAAUCAUCAGUGGAUCAACAAUGUUUCGAAAUAAGAAUUCGAAUAAAUGGUAAUUGAAGAACCAUAAGAUUCUUCAACUAAUGAAUUCUCGUAUGAUGCUUGUUCUCUGUAUUGAAGUUAAGUCAUCGAUCAUCGCUAGCUAUAACUAGAUUGAAUCCCUAUAUUGAAAACUUGUUAGGAUAAUACAUGAGGCUCCGUCACUCUCGAUGUUGACCAUUUAGAUAUUAUUCUAUCAUACAUGUGUGAUGAUUGCACGGUGUUAUUAUAUGUUUGCAACCUAAAGUUUGCAAGACUACUUGCUCAUAUUUUAGAUUAUGAGCAUAAUUUUUAGAUGAGGAAAUUGCAUCUCAUGUCACUUUUUGGAUUGGUAUUUUUAAAAAUGUCACAUUUUAAUAAUCUUUGCAAGAAUGUUAAUUUUGGACUUUUUUACCCUCUCAAAAAUCUAAUUACCUUGCAUGUCAUUAAUUAAAGUUGAUUUGACUAGAUGAAAAAAUGGUUCAAAAAACGAAAAAAUAUCACAUCAAAUCAUCCACCCUUACUUUUUAAAACCAUUUUCCAAUUUUGUACGUAUUCCCAUUUUGCAAGCCCACUUGCCAAACCUAUUUCACAUUGCAAACUAAACCCAUUUCACACAAAAAUGGUGAAGAAGAAUGUGAAGAAUUUCCAUCCCCACAAUAAUCACUUUCCCAUCUCACGAUCGAUAACCCACACCUAGUUGGAAUACAUUUCAAGUUCAAUAUCUGAUUGUUCAUAUUUGGCUCCAAAUUCAAAUUGAGGUAAAUGCCACUUUCAUUUUUUUAGAUUUACAUGUUUUGAAUAAUUUAUACUUUAAUUGUGUUAUGGUUGGUUGCAAUCUGAAGUUGAGGGGGUGGGGGGGAAUUCGUAUAUAUGGUUUCGAUUUAAUAAGUGACCAUAUUCAAGCUCCUAAAAAAAUUGAGAUUUUGAAACAUUUUCCAUAUAAUGUUGGGUAGAAUUAUUUAGUUUGUUUGAUUUUUUUGGUUUAAGAAAAAUCUAGAUUUGUUCCUUUAUUUUUUCUCCUUCUAUGUAGUAUUCCUAUUUUUUGAGUUAGAUUUGUUCAUUUAGACUUGUAACUAGGAUUACUUAAUUUUUAACGACAUAUAUGCUCUCUGUUUAUGAAAAAGCGAAAAUAUGUGAAAAAUGUAGUGCGCUCUUGUUUAAUGAAUUACAUUUAGGUUGCACUUGAAAGUAAGAAUAUAUGAAACUUUAGUACACUCUUGUUUAGUGUUAGUUGUAUGAUUUUGACAAUUUUACUUGAUUUUGAAGUUUUAUAGAGAAUUACUUUCCGAAUAUGUUAUUGUUUUGUGGGAUAUCGUUGAAGUAAAUUAUUGUCAUACUGUGUUAUGAAUUUAAGUUUGCAUGAAGUUUGUCUCAUUUUUUAAUUUAUAAAUCAAUUUAGUUACAUUUAUUUGUAAGCUUGUUUAUUUAUCUAUACAUUUUGAUAUUUUUUAUCGAGUCAUUGAUUCAAUUUUGAAUAAAUAAGGAGUUAUGUUUACUCUGUGAUUAUGUUUUCUCAAAGAUUUGAUUAUUCAAUUUGUAAGUACAAUAAUUUAAAUGCAUAUGUUGGGAUCUUUUUUAUCUUUUACUGACAGUGAGUUGUUAAAUCGAUUUAUGGUCUGUUCACUUAUCGUUUGGAUUGAAUUUUUGAGUUUAAUUUGAAUGUGGGCUAAAUUUGUGAGUUCAUAUGUUUUUGAAUUUGAUGUAAUGUGAUUUAAUUUGAGGAUUUAAAUAUUUGAUUCAUGAUAACAUAUGGAUAAUUCACAUAUUGUUCUUAUGGAAUCCAUAUGUCGAGAUAAACUAUCAUUCUUGACAGCUAUGAUAUGAAAUUCUCGAUAGUUGGUUAUUGUUCCUCAACAAUUAUUAUACAAUGUCAAACUUGUUUCAUAUGCUCUUCCACGUGUGUUACAAAGUAAAUAUAUUAAAUAUUAUAAUUUGAUUUUUGGUAUUUGUUCAUGCUACCGAUUUUUCAAUAGAUUAACAAACUAUAAUGCCAUUGGAGGAUUGCUUGAAGGAUACGUCAGCACCAUCUUCUAGUAAAGGUUGUGCCCUCAAAUGCUACCGAUCUAAUUGAAAAUGAAGAAGUGAUGGUGAUGAAGAAAUGAUGCUCAACGCAAAUUCGAAUACUGUCUGCUUUGAAACCUUUUCCAAUGCAAUAAAGUUACAUAGUGCAUUUAUCUUUGAUAAAGAGGUAUUUUUCAUGGGUUUACUUUGGUAUCGUGUUCAUAUUAUUGUACAAAAGUUCUUCACCUUAAUAUAGUAACAAAAAUUAAAAUAUUCGGUUCAGGCUAUGUUGUUCAGUCUUCAGGCACUAACGCUUACUUGCGGUCAUAUGUUCAUUAAUUUCCCUCAAAGUAAGCUAUACCUUUCUUGAGACUAGAACUCCAUGCACGAGGAGUGGUAAAAAACGAAGAAAAACAUGAAAUAAUUGAAUUUUGAUGAACUAAAAUUAUUGUCGUCCCUCUUUGAAGGGUUGAGAAUCGUGAAAUUUUCUAAGUUAUGAAACUCAUGUACCUAAUCUUUGUAAGUAUAACUUAUUUUCGUAUAUGUGUAGUUUAUUUUGUAGUUUUGCGAAAAUAUAGUUGUUUAGCCAUUGUGUAACUUGAUUAUGUGACUGUUACUAGUUGUGUAUUAUAAUUAUGGUCAAGUUUAGGUAUAUUUAGCCAAGUGCAAAAAAUUAUAUGGACAUUCUAAUUUCUUUUCAAUUUAAUCAACUGCCCUGUGUGAUAUAAUGACCAUCCUUUACUUGAAAUGAUGAGAUGUUGCAUGAUGUGGAAAUCCAAUGAAUAAAUUUGGAUGAUGUUAGUGAUUCAUAUACAUUAAUCGAUCGUCUUGUCAUGGUUACUGUAUCUACGCAUUGCUAUAUAUCCAUUAUAUUAUCUAGUUUGUUACAAACCGUUAUUUAUUUUUUGAUUUGUCUUGUGUCAAACUUGCCAACAUACAAUUGUCGAAAAUUAGUGCCCAAAAAGUUUGUUAAUACUAUGAUAAACACUAUUUGGUGAUUGUGUACUGAAUGACCAUAGUAGGGACAAUUUUCCAAGAAUUUGAUUAUAAACAUGCUACAAUUCUCCAAGAAUUUGAUUAUAAACAUGCUAUUUGGUUUAUAUAUGUGCUUAUAAGUCUCCUAGAAUUGUCGUUUCCAUUUAUGCUAUGUUUGCUAGAUGUAGGGUGUAUGUUGUUAAUUUUUGUGAUAUGUGAACUUAUCAAUUUAUCAUACAUCAUUAUCUCUAUCGUUUAUUUUGCAUGCGACAUUUGGAAUAUUGCGUUCAUCCAUGGGAAUCAACCAAUCAUACGUUCUGAAUGAGCCUCCGACAAUAUCUUAUUCUUCCCCGAUAUUUUCCAUCAUAGUCGUAUUGAAUGAUAAGGAAGUCACCUCUCUGAAGGUUUCACCUCCUAAGAUUAUUGUCAUAAGCUUAGACGAUUCUGAUGAAGACAAUGGGAGGAACAAUCAAAUGUCGAUGACUAUUGAUGUGGGCAAAAUUUGUGUACAUCAUUGACUAUAAUUAUUUAUUGUAGUUUUGUCAUGGAUUCAUAUGCUAACGUCUGUACAGAAUGUUAUGCAACAACAUAUCCAAUAUGCAUCUUAUUUGUAGUUAAGUUUUCAAGUUUGCAACCAACUGUCUAGAACGACAAGAUCCUUGUGUCAGGAACGAUAGUUUAACUUUUGGGACGUGAUGAAAUAUUUUGUUUCUAAACUUCAAUAUGACUAAUGUCCGCAAAGGUAAUGAAACAUCA